UACAGAGACUGCAAGCGUUAUUCGGAUUCACUGGGCGUAAAGGGUGCGCAGGCGGUCGGGUGUGUCAGAUGUGAAAUCCCGAGGCUCAACCUCGGAACUGCGUCUGACACUACUCGACUAGAGUACUGGAGAGGGUAACGGAAUUCACGGUGUAGCAGUGAAAUGCGUAGAGAUGCGGAGGAACACCAGUGGCGAAAGCGACUUUCUGGUCCUUAACUGACGCUGAGGCGCGAAAGCAUGGGGAGCGAACGGG
rnacentral:rRNA from 1 species